UUUCCCCUUUCCACCGGAGGAAAUUCAGCUAUUUUAAGAGUUAAUGGCUCUAAACGCGUUGGUUUUCCUGCAUCCUCCCCAGAGGUGACGGGGGCUGGAAAAGGAGGGGGGAUUCCAGUUUGGGGGUUUCGCUGCUGCUGUUUUCGUUCUGCCGAGAGCAGCCCGAAGCCGCUGACCCGAGCGGGGGGCCGUGCUCCGAGCAGCGAGCCCCCUGACACCUAGAGGUCAGGUGAAAGUCCCCAGCAGGUAAGCCGCGGGCCGCCCGGCGCGCUCGCUCCCCGCCCCACAAAUUGUUCCCUUCUGCCCACCCAAGUCGCUUCAAGCUGUGUUUAUUUAGGGGGCAACACAAAAAUUGCCGACCACCCAAUUCCCCUUCAAGACGGAGACCGCUCGCCGGUAGCCGGGGCCGCCUUCCCCUCCUCACAUCCCGCCCCCCUCCCCACAUUUCACCCUCUCCGGGGCUCCGCUUCCCAAAUCUCCGCACGCCACCGGGGGAGACCCAGGCAAGCCGUCAAGGGAAGGGGAAGCGUCGGGCUCAAGCCUUUUCGGGACACCCCCCCCCCCCCCCAAGAAAAACAGGGGUCCCAUCCACCAUCCUACAGCCCCCAAGAGCUGCCCUGUGCCCCGGGGGGGCGCAGCGCCGCGGCGGGCAGUGCCCGGGGUGCGAGGCUGCAGCCCGGCCCCGCAGAGCCGCCCCCCCCCCCCCCCGCCGGGACAGCUAUUGUUUCGUUCAAUUAGGCUCCGCUUGAUAAAAAACAAUCGCUCGUUAACCCUCGCCCUCCUCCCUGCCGGCUGGUGUGUUGUGAAUGGCGACAUCGUCUCCCUUGACCCCCGUCUCCUUUUUCUGUCUUUCUGUCCCCUGAAAAAUGAUUCCGCGAGCUCUGAUUGAAUUUUAUUCCUUCCUGACCUGGCCCGUUUUUAUUGCAUGGACACCAUCAAUCUUGACCUAACGCGACGUUUGUUUAUUACUUUGGAAAGAAGCGAAUGGCUUUAUGAGCCCCGGAGUAAUUAAAGCAGGAGGGCCGCAUUCACCGCGGCACCGCACCACCUUUGGGGCGGACUCACGACGCAGACGGGGAGGCGAGGGAGAAGAGGGAAAAAGAAAUAGGAAAAAAAAAAAUAAAGACGAGGGAAAGGCCGACGGGAUGCCGACGGUUCGCAGCCCACGGGCAUCCCACGGCCCCCUCAUGCUCGAGUUCCUCCCGAUAAGCGGGCGCGCAGUGCCUCUUGCGCAGCUCCCCGCGCAAAUCUGCGCUCGGCGCUGCCCCGCACGCCACCUGCGCCCCCGCGCAGCCCCAGCUCGGCCUCGGGCACCCCGCCGGCGCAGCAGUUCCCCGUGCGCCCCGCUGCGCUGCUCGCGGCCCUCCCAAAAUCCCGCGCAUACCAAGGCAACCGAACCGUCCGGCCAACGCCGAGGCGAGCAAGUGGGGGAAAAACGGCCCGAGGUUUCAAUGGCUUUACGACGGCGUUAAUUGGGAGCUAAUGUUCAAUUAGCGGCCAUCCCUACAGCAGAGGACGGGGGCGCGUCGCUCCGAGGCGCGCAGGAGCGCUCCUCUCCCCCUGCGCGCGUCCCGGCGCUCCGGGCUCCUGCCUACGCAAUCGAGAGGACGUCACAACCACGGCGAGCUGGUUGUGACCUCACACUCAUCUUCGUGUGGGCGCCCAGACGUGCUCAGCCCCCCGCUGUCCCUCGCAUCAGCGCCUGCCCCGGCCUGCGCGGCGGCAGCGCGCAAGCGAAGCCCCUGGAGCGCAAUUUCCAGCUCGCCCCGCUCCGGCUGCGCCGUUUUCUGGGGGGGCAGGGGGCUGCGCGCUACCGCAGUGCAGCCGGCUGGGCGAUGCGGUGCGACCCCAGGGCUGCCGAGCGGUACAAAGUUGGGCCGGGCUAUGAAAAUAGUCCCGGGUGAACUUUGAGGCUCUUUCCCCGAACUUGGCGACUUUCAGAAAGGGCCCCGGCUGCGGUGAAAGGCUCGUUUGCAACCGUUCCCUGAAGGUCUCCGUCCGCGACACAAACAGUUUCCCCGCAAACUGGUGUGUGGAGGCGAAAGCCCUGACAUCCACCUCGAGCCACAGACACGCCGCGAAGCUGCGCGCUGACCUGGCACCCAAGGGCGCCGCUCCGCAGGCAGGGCCGGGGCCUCGCAGCCGCACCGUCCCGCCGCCGCCGGCCGCACGUCCCUCGCACCGCCGCGGAGCUCUGCUGGGAGACAACCAGAGAUCAGGAGGGACCCUCCGCUUUGCCCCCUGCUCGCCAUCAUCAUCGUCACCACAAUAAAGUAAUAGCAAUAACAG